rnacentral:tRNA from 3 species
CGCGGGGUGGAGCAGUUUGGUAGCUCGUCGGGCUCAUAACCCGAAGGUCGUUGGUUCAAAUCCAACCCCCGCAACCA